rnacentral:lncRNA from 1 species
GGCGCUCUAGGCUGUGGCUCUCAGCGACUACGGAGGCCAAGAUGGUGUUUUGCUCUGUCAUCCAGGCUGGAGUGCAAUGGCACAAUCUCAGCUCACUGCAACAUCUGCCUCCCAGGUUCAAGCCAUUGUCCUGCCUCAGGAGGAGAUUCUACUGUCUCAGCCUCCCGAGUAGCUGAAACUACAGGUCUUUAGAUAAUAACUCUUUCAACUGAUUGCCAAUCAGAAUAUCUUUGAAGCCACCUAUGACCUGGAAGCCCCCACCUUCCCCUUUUCUGGAACGAACCAGUGUACAACUUAUGCUUAUUGAUUGGUGUCUGUAUGUAACUUCUGUCCCCCUAAAAUACAUAAAAUCAAGCUGUGACCCAACUACCUUGGACACAUGUUCUCAGGACCUUCCAAGGCUGUGUCAUGGGUCGUGGUCCUCACAUUUGGCUCAGAAUAAAUCUCUUCAAAUA